ACCGGGCGGGGUGGUGCAUGCCUGUAGUCCCAGCUACUCAGGAGGAUGAGGUGGGAGGAUUGCUCGAGCCCAGGAAUUCUGGGCUGCAGUGCACUAUGCCGAUCGAGUGUCCGCACUAAGUUCGGCAUCAAUAUGGUGACCUCCCGGGAGAGGGGACCACCAGGUUGCCUAAGGAGGGGUGAACUGGCCCAGGUUGGAAAUGGAGCAGGUCAAAACUCCCGUGCUGAUCAGUAGUGGGAUCACGCCUGUAAAUAGCCACUGCACUCCAGUCUGGGCAACAUAGCGAGACCCCGUCUCU
rnacentral:SRP_RNA from 1 species